rnacentral:rRNA from 1 species
GAUCCUGGCUUAGGAUGAAUGCUGGCGGCAUGCCUAAUACAUGCAAGUCGAGCGGUAACAGGACUAGCUUGCUAGUGCUGACGAGCGGCGGACGGCUGAGUAACGCAUGGGAACGCACCCAAACUGAGGGAUAACUAGUCGAAAGAUUAGCUAAUACCGCAUGUGAUCUUCGGAUUAAAGCCUUCGGGCGGUUUGGGAGCGGCCUGUGUACGAUUAGAUAGUUGGUGAGGUAAUGGCUCACCAAGUCGACGAUCGUUAGAUGGUUUGAGAGGAUGAUCAUCCAGACUGGAACUGAGACACGGUCCAGACUCCUACGGGAGGCAGCAGUAGGGAAUCUUUCACAAUGGGCGAAAGCCUGAUUGGAGCAAUGCCGCGUGCAGGACGAAGGCCUUCGGGUUGUAAACUGCUUUUAUAAGCGAGGAAUAUGACGGUAACUUAUGAAUAAGGAUCGGCUAACUACGUGCCAGCCGCCGC